rnacentral:rRNA from 1 species
UACGGAGGGGGCUAGCGUUGUUCGGAAUUACUGGGCGUAAAGCGCGCGUAGGCGGACCUGCAAGUCGGGGGUGAAAGCCCGAGGCUCAACCUCGGAACUGCCUUCGAUACUGCGGGUCUCGAGUCCGGGAGAGGUGAGUGGAAUUCCUAGUGUAGAGGUGAAAUUCGUGAGAUAUUAGGAAGAACACCAGUGGCGAAGGCGG